rnacentral:rRNA from 1 species
CAGCAGCCACGGUAAUACGGAGGAUCCAAGCGUUAUCCGGAAUCAUUGGGUUUAAAGGGUCCGUAGGCGGUCUUGUAAGUCAGUGGUGAAAGCCCAUCGCUCAACGGUGGAACGGCCAUUGAUACUGCAGGACUUGAAUUAUUGGGAAGUAACUAGAAUAUGUAGUGUAGCGGUGAAAUGCUUAGAGAUUACAUGGAAUACCAAUUGCGAAGGCAGGUUACUACCAAUUGAUUGACGCUGAUGGACGAAAGCGUGGGUAGCGAACAGGAUUAGAGACCCCUGUAGUCCCUGUCUCUUAUAC